rnacentral:misc_RNA from 1 species
AUGUAUGUUACACCAGAACUUUUGACUCGGUGGAGCGAUUUCGACAAAUUUUCUUUCAAUCGAAAGGUGGUGUGUGCCAAUUGGUCCCAUUUAAAUUUAUUUGAGAUCUAACAACUACUUUUCGAGUUAUAUCUAAUAAUGCGUUUUUACUUGACGCUUUUUUCGUCGACCUACGUUGUAUUAUACCCCAUUACUUUCUACUGGAUGUACCGAUUUUGCCAAUUCUUUUUUUUGUUGGAAAGGAGAUAUCCCAAGUGUAAUAUCAUGAUAAGGAAACCAGGAUCUGAUGAUGGGAU